UACGUAGGGGGCAAGCGUUGUCCGGAAUCAUUGGGCGUAAAGAGCGCGUAGGCGGCCCGAUAAGUCCGCUGUGAAAGUCAAGGGCUUAACCCUUGAAUGCCGGUGGAAACUGUCGGGCUAGAGUCCGGAAGAGGCGAGUGGAAUUCCUGGUGUAGCGGUGAAAUGCGCAGAUAUCAGGAGGAACACCUAUAGCGAAGGCAGCUUGCUGGGACGUUACUGACGCUAAGGCGCGAAAGCGUGGGGAGCGAACAGG
rnacentral:rRNA from 1 species